UACGUAGGGAGCAAGCGUUGUCCGGAAUCAUUGGGCGUAAAGCGCGCGUAGGUGGCUUUGUAAGUCCGUUGUGAAAGUCAAAGGCUCAACCUUUGAAAGCCGAUGGAUACUGUGAAGCUAGAGUACGGAAGAGGCGAGUGGAAUUCCUGGUGUAGCGGUGGAAUGCGCAGAUAUCAGGAGGAACACCAAUAGCGAAGGCAGCUCGCUGGGACGUUACUGACACUGAGGCGCGAAAGCGUGGGGAGCAAACAGG
rnacentral:rRNA from 1 species